GAUGAAGAACGCAGCGAAAUGCGAUACUUGGUGUGAAUUGCAGAAUCCCGUGAACCAUCGAGUCUUUGAACGCAAGUUGCGCCCGAAGCCAUCAGGUUGAGGGCACGUCUGCCUGGACGUCACAUAUCGUUGCCCAAUGCCUAUUGCAGUGCAAUAGGAAUUUCUAGGGCGAAUGAUGGCUUCCCGUGAGCGUUGUUGCCUCGCGGUUGGUUGAAAAUCGAGUCCUUGGUAGGGUGUGCCAUGGUAGAUGGUGGUCGAGUUAGAACGAUACCGAUCAUGUGCAUGCUCCCCAAAAUAUGGCCUCUAUGACCCACACGCGUCUUUUGACGCUCAUGACGAGACCUCAGGUCAGGCGGGGCUACCCGCUGAAUUUAAGCAUAUCAAUAAGCGGAGGA
rnacentral:misc_RNA from 1 species